rnacentral:rRNA from 1 species
GACAGAGGGUGCAAACGUUGCUCGGAAUUACUGGGCGUAAAGUGCGUGUAGGCGGACCGGAAAGUCGGGCGUGAAAUCCCUGGGCUCAACCCAGGAACUGCACUCGAAACUUCCGGCCUUGAGUGGUGGAGAGGGUAGUGGAAUUCCUGGUGUAGAGGUGAAAUUCGUAGAUAUCAGGAGGAACACCGGUGGCGAAGGCGGCUACCUGGACACCAACUGACGCUGAGGUGCGAAAGCGUGGGGAGCGAACGGG